GAAAUGCGAUACGUAGUGUGAAUUGCAGAAUUCCGUGAACCAUCGAAUCUUUGAACGCAUAUUGCGCUCGAGGCCUCGGCCGAGAGCAUGUCUGCCUCAGCGUCGGCCCACCCCUCGCCACCCCUCCCCCUUUUGAUUUCAAAAGGGAGAUUGGAAAGGCGGAGCUGGCCGUCUCGACCGCCUUUCAAGGCAGUCGGGUCGGCUGAAGCACAGAGGCUUGAGCACGGACCCCGUUUGAUGGGCACAGCUUGGUAGGUAGCUCACGCUGCAUGCCGCUGGCGCCCUAGGGGACCUUGCUGUAAAGCCCGCAGGAAAGGGGCCAUUCACUUGGCCCCUGCUUUCACUUUCGACCUGAGUUUAGGCAAGGCUACCCGCUGAACUUAA
rnacentral:misc_RNA from 1 species